AGAGAGAGAGAGAGAGAGAGAGAGAGAGAGAGAGAGAGGUGGGUGUGGGUAUGUAGAAACUUACUAGAGAAAAUGAUUAGAAGGGCUGCCGGAUGGGAUGCAAAGGAGACUCAAUAGCAAGUAUGAUGCAAAGAAAGAAGAUACGCAACAGUGGGGAACCGAAAUGAAGACAGGAGAUGUAUAGGAACUCUUCAUAUUUGGGGAUCUAUUGUAGCAUCUACAAAUCCAAACUCUAUUUUGGAGAGCUGGAUGGAAGGUGCAUUUGUGGUUUUCCCCAAAUGUGAAUCCUAAACUUUGGAGAAAAUAGAGGUUGGCUAAAGAGGAUAACAAUGGACGAUGGAAACAAGAAUACAAGCGUGGUACACAAAGUGUUUGAUGGAAAUUCUCAAAGAAUAAACCUUUUAUUCAUGGGCCUCAUUGAGUUGUUACAUCGACACCAACAACCCACCGCCUAUCCUGUUUCUCUUUCUCUCUCCGCCCUUUCUCUUCCGACCGAGAGGGCCAAAAUUAAUUCUCCAAGUAUGGUAUUUGUCUGGAUGGUUUAUGGGGCUGAUUUGGCUGCCUUUCUUCAGACAUUUGCAAAGAUUGUUGAGAAACCAGAAAGGCUUACAUUUUAGGUGACAUAUCAGGUUACAAAAAAUUGAAACCUGUUGACUUUCAGUAUCUACUUAGUGGUGAUGGAUAAUAGUGGUUUCUACUGGAUAGAGAUCCCUUGUUGGGUCAUUGUUGAAGAAAUUUGGAGAGGUGUUGGAUUGCUGAAGAAGAUUGUAAGGAUGUUGGCCAGGAGUGAAAAUUGUAAAAUGGAGGAUGGACGCAGGAUAGGGGAGAGUGAGGGUCGACUGUUCACUUCUGAAAAAAAAAAAACUAACGAUUCUUUUGUGGGAUCCCUAUGUAUUUGUAGUAACUCCCUUUUAUUUAUUUAUUUAUUCACCAUCUCAUAUCAAAUAUGAUUUAGGGUGACUUGGUACCA